rnacentral:rRNA from 1 species
AGCGAACGCUGGCGGCAGGCCUAACACAUGCAAGUCGAGCGCCCAGCAAUGGGAGCGGCAGACGGGAUAGUAACACGUGGGAACGUACCUUUCAGUUCGGAACAACCCAGGGAAACUUGGGCUAAUACCGAAUACGUCCGUAAGGAGAAAGAUUUAUCGCUGAAAGAUCGGCCCGCGUCUGAUUAGCUAGUUGGUGAGGUAAUGGCUCACCAAGGCGACGAUCAGUAGCGGUCUGAGAGGAUGAUCAGCAUCACUGGGACUGAGACACGGCCCAGACUCCUACGGGAGGCAGCAGUGGGGAAUAUUGGACAAUGGGCGCAAACCUGAUCCAGCCAUGCCGCGUGGAUGAUGAAGGCCUUAGGGUUGUAAAGUCCUUU